UGGCAAAAUCAGCAGGUUCACAGCUUAUAUGACUGCCGUAAUUCGCAUGUCGGACUUAGUGCAAAAUUUAAACAAAAGAAUUCUUUGUUUAAAUUUUGCACUAAGUCCGACAUGCGAAUUACGGCAGAGAGAU